GUCCACGCCGUAAACGAUGGAUACUAGCUGUUGGAAGCAAUUUCAGUGGCUAAGCGAAAGUGAUAAGUAUCCCACCUGGGGAGUACGUUCGCAAGAAUGAAACUCAAAGGAAUUGACGGGGGCCCCGCACAAGCGGUGGAGCAUGUGGUUUAAUUCGAUGAUACGCGAGGAACCUUACCAAGGCUUAAAUGUAGAUUGACAGGUUUGGAAACAGACUUUUCUUCGGACAAUUUACAAGGUGCUGCAUGGUUGUCGU
rnacentral:rRNA from 1 species